rnacentral:lncRNA from 1 species
UCCCAGAAGGCAGACUUAAGUUACAAAAUAUAUACACAUGGAAUCUAUCCCAUAAGGAGAUAGUUCCUUUGUCCUCUCUUGGCUGGAAGACAAGAAAGCACCUCAGGCUAAGGAGAUGUUGCUUCUUGGAAGAAUGGAGUCAGAGAGAGAGAUGGCUGCCCUUCCCUGAACUAUUUUCUUACCUGCACAGGUGAGGUAACACCCACCUCUGGUCACAUGUAGAGGAAGUUUGUCCCAGCAAGGAGGAAACAGGAAGCUCUGACCAGCUUCCCGUCCAGACACCCCCUUUUUAUGUCCACUCUAGGAAUGUUGUAUUUGACUACUCUGUGUUUCACACCCCACAAAUACUGUAGAAUCAAAGAAUUGUAGAGCUGGAACGGACCCUGAGUGGCUGGGGAAACCCAGGCAGAUGGGAAGGGGAAGGGGAAGGGGAAGGGGAAGGGGAAGGGGAAGAAGAAGAAGAAGAAGAAGAAGAAGAAGAAGAAGAAGAAGAAGAAGAAGAAGAAGAAGAAGAAGAAGAAGAAGAAGUCCAACCCCCUGCAAUGCAGGAAUCUGAACUGGAGCAUCCCUGACAGAUGGCCACCCAAUCUCUACUUAUAAACCUCCAAGGAAAGAGAGCCCACAACCCCUUGUGGCAGUCUGUUCCACUGUCAAGUGGUUCUUACUUUCAGAAACGUCUUCCUGAUGUUUAGUAGGCCUCUCCUUUCUUGUAACUAGAAGCCAAUGGUUUGGGUCCUACCCUCUGGAGCAGGAGAAAACAAGCUUGUUCCAUUUUCCACAUGACAGCCCCUGAGGUAUCUGAAGAUGCCUGUCAUAUCACUUCUCAGUCUUCUCUUUUCCCCCAGGGUGGGUAACAGGCAAUUCCUCCAACCCCUUGUCUUGGUCUUACCACCCCUCCAUGAAGAUUCUUCGGGUCUUAUCUUAUGGAAGUAGAUUAGGGAAGGAGCCAAAAUCCCAGUUACUCACUCUGGCAGAAGCCUUCUGGAGCAGAUCAAGGUUGGCUGCAGCAGGUCCUAGGGCCAUUUUGGCCAUCCCUCAAUUGCCAUCACUGGCCCUUUGUUGUGUUGAAGAUCCCAGAGGAUAGAGGGCAGGGGCUAGGAUGGCACAAGUAUGCCCUCAGGCCUCUCUAGGCCUCUCCUCAUAUUCUCUACAGCCUCUGGCACAACCAGGGGGUAUUGUCAUCAGCUGUUACUUCCAAGCGAAUGUCCUUGGGAGCCAAACAGAAGUAUAUAAAAGGGUUUGGGGUAUGUUGAAACAUGUUGAGACUCAAGCUCUCUGAAUGGGGAUUUUAAUGACCGCAUCGGAGAGUACAGGGAAUUGUGAGGAACGAAUUUGCUGCUGUCCUUGUGUUAAUGUAACUGAAAAAUCAUGCAGAUAAGGACGUAAUUCCCCCGACCCCUUUCUGCACAGAACAGCAGCUUUCUCCUGAUGGAAUUCGACUCACACCAGUUACCAUAUGAGGCUCGAUCUUGCAAGUACCCUUGAAAAGUUAUAAUAGCAGAAUAAUGGAGUCAGGAGGCAUUCUGACAGCCAGCUAAGCUGUGUGCUCGCUUUGAUGCGAUGGGGCCAUCUGAGCAGCAAUCCAGCUAUAGGUUUAAUUUCCUUUUCAUACUUAUCAAGGGUAGUCAGGGUAGAGGAAGUUGGUGUGGACCUAAAUAGCAGAGGCAAACAGCUGCAGACGACCAAAUCCUUGUGUCUCGCCAUGAGAUUAUUGGGGUACAUAUGAAAGCCGCUUUAGGCAUCUCUUCUAUUUUACAGAUGAAGGUUCUGUCCCUGUGUCUGUGUGCAAUUAUAUCAUAGCAAUGGGGAUUGAAGUUGGUGUAACUGACUCAUCAGCCUGUGAAAUCUAUAGCCGGAAGAAAAAGGGGGGAUUCUGAAAGACAUUAUGGUGGAAGCAUUCAUUAAAGAAGGGGUGGGGAUCUCAGGGAAUGAAUUCAAGCCCUCCAAAGAUCUCUACUUUCUCCUUGGGACUCUUGGGCACACACCCUCCCAAGCCACACCACAUAUCCCCAAGGCAGGUUCCUCACUGGUGCUGCUGGUUCCUUGCGUAUUUAGGCUACUUCAAGUCUUCCAUUGGACUCUGACCAUGCCUGGGGGAAAGAGCAGGUGGGUGUGAAAAUUAGCCUACAGUAAGGGGUUAAAAUUUACAUUCGUUGCUCCACCCACUGACCCAGACCACCACUGGCAUCUGCCCCCCCCAGCUCACUGCAACCUCCCCCCCCCCAAAAAAGUGAAAAUCAGUGUCUGAUCACACAUAUAUUUACUGUUGCUUCAAGAAUCAAGUGAAAUAAUUUAACCAGCAACAUGAUCCAAAGUUAGGCACUUAAAAGUGCCACAGCUUUCGGCAGAAGAUAUUUGUGCAUGUAGUUAACUCUCAGGUUGAAAAUAAUGGUACUCCAAAGAGCUUAGACGUGUGCUGCAUCAAGGUUUGCAUUACUUGGGACUGCCAUUCAAAAGGAGAGGCAGGAGCCUUUUCUCACAUUGCAUACUGAAGUAAGCCAUAUUCCCCUUUUCCCCCCUUAGGACCGCAUCCAAAAGCAAUAUAGAUGGACAAGCCUACAGAGAAAAGAUGGCUCGCAAAAGCUUUCCAGUGGGAUUUCUGAUCCUGCAAAGACCCACACAUAUCUCAGUCACUUUCUCCUAAGCUGCAGCAAAGAUGAAAGGCGCUUUAACCUCCUUUCCUGAAAUGUGAACAGCAACAGAGCCUUUUCUCAAAACCCUGCCCUCAUUAGGCUUGCAUCUCAACUUCUGCGGUAUUGAAUCAAUGGGCACAGCCAGUGUUGCCACAACCUUUGCCUUGCUCAGUUUGAAAUGGGCCUGCCUUGAAAAUCUGUUCCCAAACAGCAUUAAAGAG